AUGUUCAGUUUACUUGGGCUCGGGGGAUUAAGCCUGCCCAGGCCUCCCUUGUAUUUGAAAUGUAUGAUAUUGAUAUCAGUGCUUAGAGAGAAUCAGGCCUCUGCAAUAAGCAGAUCAUGCCUGGCUCCAUAAAGUCUACAUUGCAUGGAGAGAUGUAUAGGCUAGGUGGAGAAGGGCCAAGUCAGGCCUUUGCUCUGGAAAGCAAGUAUUAGGUAAUG
rnacentral:lncRNA from 1 species